CAGCACACAAGCAGCAGAAUCCACUGUGUCACUCCCAGAAGAGCAUUCUCCAUGGACUUCUGUGAUGUACUACUGACAAUCAAGCAAGUCCAAAGGAAGUUCCAAGAGUAAGAUGUCAGACAAUAUUCACAGCUUCUCUGCACAUCCACCAGCAAGUCUCCUGGAGAAAGUGGGGGGUGUCCCAUGCCACCACCAGCUGUCGCGUCUCCCAGUCACAUCAGGUAUCUGAGGAGUGGCUACUCAAAGAAUACUGAAACACCUUGGGAUAAUGGAAUCCCUGAGUCAAGAUCCACUGGCAUCAUCUUUUAUUCCUUGCAUGUUACAAGAAUCACCUCCACCCCCAAGAGUGCCCUUGUGUUCUCUGAAGGUGUUUUCAUGAAGACCAAGGAAUACAGAUAAGGAGGUUAUUCUAAGCACAAAGCCUUCUGCCCUCUUCCACUAAGAAAUACACAAAUUUUUAGGAAUUCAUAGUCCCUUAUAAAGGUGGUAGCUGCAGGGUUCCUAAACUCAGGGCAUGGGCCAAAUAGAAAAGAUUUCCCUGUUACCUACAAAUGGGAUCUCUUAGGUGUAUGCCUCCUAGCAUGCCU